CUAUUUAUCAUUUAUUCAUAAUUCUGUAUGCAUCUUAAAUAUCUGCUUGUCAGAGAUCAGAUAAGUGGAAUCAAGUUCACCAAUCAGAACCAACUUUGAAUGGAAACUGACCCUAUGGUCAUGUUGUACAUAAUCAGACCUUAACGUUUGUGCACUUUAAAAACUACUCAUCAACAUCAAGACCCACCAGCCAUCUCUGACUGUGUGCAUUCGAACUCUGGUCACAACAAAUAAAUUACAGAGACCAUUUCAAUCAAAUGUAAAACAAUACAUCUUCCUUAUUUACAGAACAUCAAAUAACGACAAUCUUUUUUACAGCCAUUUGCUUACGGAAGUCAGAAUAUCAGUUUUUAUAUGCAUCAAUAGCUUAUGUACAAACAAGAUUUGAUGUUAUUAUUUAAAAACGAACAAAUGUGUUAAAGGGGACAUAUAAUGAAAACAGCACUUUUCCUGGGAUUUGGGGUGUUGUUUUGGGUUUUUGGUGCUCCACCACGCAUACAAACUUUGAAAAAAGUCUGUACAUGAUAUUUUGAUUGAGUUAUGCAUUUCUGAAAGUAACCCGCCUACAGUUACCAAACGAGCGAGUACGUUUCGGCGCCCCCUCCUACGUAGGAAGGGGGCACUGUUGAAUAUUACCUCCCACUUCCCCACUCCCCUCUAAUCAGAGCAUAGCUACGAUUUUGUUGACCAGCGGACCAACGGCUUCGAUGGCAGCAGUCCGGCAGCUCCGCUCCUGGAGUACAAUCCCUUUCUCCUCCGUGUCGCAGUUCAUGGACUUCAGAGAGUCAAGGCCAAAGUUCCUUUCCCCCAAUUCUUCUCAGCCAUGGCCGAGAUAUCCCCCACUACGAGUCUUUAAUUGUUGUGGAAGUGCCAGAGACGUCAGACGCAGUCUUUAUGAUUCAUUCGAGGCGCACAUAGCUUUUGGCCGUGAUAUUAGAUAUAAUAUUAUAUAAAUACCCAUAUAUAAUAUUAUUAUUAUUAUAUUAUAUAGAUAUAGAGCUCCAGGAGUCCGACUAACGGCAACAAUCCCUUUCUUUUCCAUGCUGCGGUUCAGUCUGACAGCUCAUUGGUCAAUGGGCAGCAGCUCAUUUGCAUCAAAGCUACAGACACCAGAAACAGCGCAUUCUGAAGGGACUGAGAUUUUUUUUCCUAAAAGGAGUAAAAGCUAGCAAACAGCUUCAAAAACAUGUUUUCUGGAACUCAAAUACUAUGUUUUCGUGUUGUGAAAACGCCAUAAUAUGUCCCCUUUAAGAAAGACAGGAGAUGUCCAGAUUGAAUGAACAGCGGUAACAAUAUUUUGUCUACAGUUUUUCUAACCCUGUUCUCCAAAUAGUUAUUAUUAUUAACUAUAAUUUAAACUACUUAAUUAAUUGAGUAUUUACCAGGGUACAGGGUCACCCCCGGAAUUUAUGCUUCCUGGAGAAUAAAUCUAACCUUGCAUGCAAUUAGCAUCUUGUUAUAUCUCAUCUAUCUAAUAAUCUUGCACGCAAAUGUAUUAUCGUUACUAUGUUUUUGUCAUAUCUUAUUGACAUUGCAUAAUUGUCCAAAUAUAUUUCUUGUUCAAGCAAACAAUAGAGCCUUAGUUCAGACUGAAACAAAAUGAACUGUAGUACCAGAAGCAUCUCCAACAUUGACCUAUUAAGGUCCUUUUUAAUGUUCAACCUUGCCCUCUGGGGCCUUCAGUCCAUGGGGGUCAGAGGUUUGUCGAUAAUGGUGGUUAAAUGAUUGAGUUAAUGUAAACUAACAAAGUUACAAGUACUAUGCUUAUGUUGCAUACUGUGUCGUAUCAUCUGACAUCAUGAGUGUGACCUAGAAGUCAUCGACUGAUGGCUAGUGAACAUUAUCCUGCCUCCCAAACACCACAGCUACCAUAGCUAUUUCACAUUUGUCAAAUGAGAAAUGACAUUGCACACUUUCUUAACUCCAAUAUAAGACAUUCAGUAUCUUGUUCUGCCUUCUUGGGACAAUACAACGAUUGGCGCUAUACUUCAAAGUGCUCACUGACAUGGCUUUGUGCCAGGGUGCAGAUGUGUCAGCUCCGCGUGAGGGCCAGGAGAAGAGAGCAUACCU
ensembl:lncRNA